rnacentral:RNase_P_RNA from 1 species
AAACCGCAAGUGUGCAGUCGCUGUAUGGCUUGACGCCGUGCAGAGGAAAGUCCGAACUUCACAGGGCAGGGUGCCGGUCGAGAACCUGGGAACCUGGUUCAAGGCCGGGGGCAGCGGUGCAAACCGUCUGUCACAGAGAGUGCAACAGAAAGCAAACCGCCCCGGCUCCGGCCGGAGUAAGGGUGAAAAGGGGGUUUAAGAGACCACCAGGCAGGUCAGUAAUGCCCUGCGCUAUGAAAACCUCCCCGAAGCAAGGCCGAAUAAGGAAGCUUUUUUCGCAAGAAAAGAAGGGUUGCCCGCCCAACUUUUCAAGGCACUGCCUUGAAAGCAGCUUUCGGGUAGGCCGCAUCAGAUAAAUGACUGCAGCUUCAUCACUUGAUGAUGAUUUACAGAAUUCGGCUUACAGCUUCGGUUUCAGC